rnacentral:rRNA from 1 species
UACGGGGGAUGCGAGCGUUGUCCGGAUUCACUGGGCGUAAAGGGCGCGUAGGCGGCCCGAUCAGUCGGAUUUAUAAGUGCGGGGCUCAACCCCGUGAUGGGUUCGGGACGGUCGGGCUGUGGCGCGGCAGAGGGAGACGGAAUGCCGGGUGUAGUGGUGAAAUGCGUAGAGAUCCGGCGGAACACCGGUGAUGAAGAUGGUCUCCUGGGCCGAGGGCCGACGCUGAGGCGCGAGAGCGUGGGGAGCGAACCGG